rnacentral:tRNA from 1 species
AUGCAAAUCUCUGUAAUUU